rnacentral:rRNA from 1 species
ACUCCUACGGGAGGCAGCAGUGGGAAUCUUGCGCAAUGGGCGAAAGCCUGACGCAGCAACGCCGCGUGAGGGAUGACGGCCUUCGGGUUGUAAACCUCUUUCGCGAUCGACGAAGGCCCGUCUUGUUGAGUCGGGUUGACGGUAGGUCGAGAAGAAGCACCGGCCAACUACGUGCCAGCAGCCGCGGUAAUACGUAGGGUGCGAGCGUUGUCCGGAAUUAUUGGGCGUAAAGAGCUCGUAGGCGGUGUGUCACGUCGGCCGUGAAAACCUGGGGCUUAACUCUGGGCGUGCGGUCGAUACGGGCAUCACUAGAGUUCGGCAGGGGAGACUGGAAUUCCUGGUGUAGCGGUGAAAUGCGCAGAUAUCAGGAGGAACACCGGUGGCGAAGGCGGGUCUCUGGGCCGAUACUGACGCUGAGGAGCGAAAGCAUGGGUAGCGAACAGGAUUAGAUACCCUGUAGGCUCUG